CGCUGAGUUUGAUCCUGGCUCAGAUUGAACGCUGGCGGCAUGCCUUACACAUGCAAGUCGAACGGCAGCACGGGUGCUUGCACCUGGUGGCGAGUGGCGAACGGGUGAGUAAUACAUCGGAACGUACCUUAUCGUGGGGGAUAACGCAGCGAAAGCUGUGCUAAUACCGCAUACGCCCUGAGGGGAAGCGGGGAUCGGAAAGGACCUCGCGCGAUUAGAGCGGCCGAUGCCUGAUUAGCUUGUUGGU
rnacentral:rRNA from 1 species